GAACCCGGAAAGAGGAGAGAGUCUUAGAAAAACCUAGACAGAAAAGAGAGUCCUAGAAAAACCCAGACAAAAGAGAAAGUCUAGACAGAAGAGAAAUUGAGAGAGAAAGGAAGAGAGCAGAAGAAACAGAGCGGAAGGAGACCGGAAAAACCCAGAAGAGUGCGACAGAGAGAGAAAAGAAGGUCUUAGAGAAAGUGAGAAAGAAAAGAGAGCAAACGCUCGAUUCGGAUCCUAGACCCAAAAGCUCGAUUAAGAUCCGAGCAGCCCAAACUCAGAGCAAAUCAUCUUUUCUUCUUUCGAUAGCCAACCCUUCGCAGCCGUUGCCGGAGACGCACUUCCAAUUUUGGAUAUCCUUGGUUGUUCUCAUGUGCCUUUACUCAUUUGAUAGAGAGAGAGAGGCAGUCGGAGAAGAAAGAAAGCGUGAAUCGGAGAGAGGGGGUGGAUACAGAAAGCUUGGUUUUCAAUCACAGGGUUUGAUUUUGAUGUGUUUGCAGUGUUGUGAAGGUUAUUGAUCUUGAAGAAGACAUUGAUGGGAGUAGAUGAUUAUGCCUGAUCUUAAUCAGAAUGAAUAUGUUCAAAAGGCGAUUCAAGAUAGAUUGAGAAAUCGAAAGUGGAGCAAUGUAAGCUCUACUUGAAGAAGAAUGGGUUCAAAGUUUUAAAUUAACUAGUGGUAAGAACACGGUUAUUCAUCGGAUUAAGGAGCAUCUACGCAAACAAAAUCUGAUACACAACCACUUUCCAGACCAGAUAUUCAGUUUUUAAGUUUUGUCGUGUUGACGUGUCGCGCCGUGUCGUGUCGCUGUGUCCGUGUCCGUGUACGAGCAACAUGUAUUACCAAUACAAUUUGAUAAAAAAAGUGUAAUUUCAAUUUCAAUAAACUUCUAACUUCUCAUAUACGAACUACUACGACUUUGAAACUAUUCACAAGUUUUCAAUUUUAAGCACAAGAAGCAUCCUCUCUUUUUUGAUAAAAUAGUCUCUUUAGAACUUUUAAGGGUGAGCUCAGCUCUAUAUCAUGUACAUGCCACAUUGUAGUAUAUCUGAGUUUUUUUUUACUGAUGGAGAAUGAGAUGAAAAUUGAUUUUGGGUUUUAAGGUUUUGAUAUUGGGGGCAAAGAUGAUUCUGGGAGUUUUAAAUUUAAUUUGAUUAUUUCUUUAACAAAAUAUGUCUCAGAUUAAUCUAGGAAUCUAUUCUAUAUUGUGAUUACUACCCUCAACAGUUCUCUUCCCAAGAUGAACUUAGUUAUAUGUAUUGGUCAUCAAUUGUAUGCUCUGAAACUACAGAAAAGCAGAAUGCAUAUUCUCUUAUUGAUUAAUCUAUUAUUAAUGGAUGAUUAUUGUGUUUACAUGCCUUGGGUUGCUGCUAUUGUAGGUGUGUUAUCUGGGGCUGGACCUUUAAGUAGGUGUUCUCAGGUUAAAAAAGAAUUAGGCACAAAUCCAAACAAGAUCAACUAGGCACACAUAAUCGCUUUUUAUAGAGAUGAUGGUGCUUGAGACCUCUUCACAUUAUAUCAGUUAGUCAUUCUCAGUGUUAUAACCCUACAUGGAAAUGGUCUUUUUGGUGUGUGUCUAAUCAAUAGAUGCAUUCAAACCCAUAUAUCACUUUCAACCCAUAUAUUCACCCUAAACCCACCCAUAUAUCACUUUAUAUUAUGUUAAUGUGUCUCUUUUAUCAUUUUCAUACUAUUUCAUUGUCUAUUGCCAGAAAGAAUUUUCACCGUGGUCCACUCUUCCCAAUAUCUUCACGUGAUGUAAUUUCAUACAUGAUCAAGAAUGUAAGAAUGUAAAAUGAAUACAAAUUUGGUUUCCUUUGGUUUCCGACUGCCCGCAGCAACGCGCGGGUUUUCUAUCUAGUUCUUGUACAUUUUGUGUUUUGAACUAAAGGCCGGAAUUUAGGAGAAGAUCAUUAGCGAGAUGUGCAGUCAUGUUUUAGUAUAGAAAACGUGACAUAAAGAUAUAAUUCUUUUUCACUUUUUUUUCUUUACUUUUCUGUUGGAUGAUAACUUUAUUGACCAUCAAGAAAUUGGAUUUAAAUGGAAUUGACAAUUGGAUUGCAAUUGACAAGAAGAAAGGUUCAAGCUUAUCAUGGUGUGUCUCGGUCGUUUGCAAUAGGUAAGGAUCAAAGUGUGGAAAUGGAAGGCCGAAAGGUCAACUUGUCAUUUCAACUUCAUGUACAGUAGCAAGAAGCUGAAUACAGGGUCGGUCCUGAAGGCUUUAAAGCCCGAUGCGAAAAAAAAAUUAGGCUCAAGAAGAACAAAAGGAAACAUG